GAUGAACGCUGGCGGCGUGCCUAAUACAUACAAGUCGAGCGAACAGACGAGGAGCUUGCUCCUCUGACGUUAGCGGCGGACGGGUGAGUAACACGUGGAUAACCUACCUAUAAGACUGGGAUAACUUCGGGAAACCGGAGCUAAUACCGGAUAAUAUAUUGAACCGCAUGGUUCAAUAGUGAAAGACGGUUUUGCUGUCACUUAUAGAUGGAUCCGCGCCGCAUUAGCUAGUUGGUAAGGUAACGGCUUACCAAGGCAACGAUGCGUAGCCGACCUGAGAGGAUGAUCAGCCACACUGGAACUGAGACACGGUCCAGACUCCUACGGGAGGCAGCAGUAGGGAAUCUUCCGCAAUGGGCGAAAGCCUGACGGAGCAACGCCGCGUGAGUGAUGAAGGUCUUCGGAUCGUAAAACUCUGUUAUUAGGGAAGAACAAAUGUGUAAGUAACUAUGCACGUCUUGACGGUACCUAAUCAGAAAGCCACGGCUAACUACGUG
rnacentral:rRNA from 1 species